CACUACUGUAGCAUUUCGCUCAAACCCGCCCUUCCAUGUGCCGGGACCACUUUGCCUCCUCCUCUCUGGUGGCAUUUAAACUCCCAUUUAAGGAAACAUCAUGUUUUAGGAAUUUAGGUUUGUCCACAGUAGUGUAAAAGUGAUCAGCUACUCUUCCCAGUCUGUGUGUGUGUGUGUAUACGUGUACACACAUACAAAGGUGCUCUGUGAUGUAAAAUGCUUGCAUGGAUGACCUGCUUCCUGUUUUGCUCUGUGAGGUGGGAAAGGAAGACAAGCAAGCAGGUGUGUAAUCAGGAAGGUGAGCAGUGCAAGAAGCCUCUCAGGAAGUGAAGCUGGGGCACUAGCAGGUAGAAGGAGUCAGCCCACUGGGACUAGAGAAUGGCUUCUCUCCAUCUGCUCUCUAAUCCCAGGCCGUGGGAUUAGAGUCAGAGGGUCCUGGAUUCAGUUUAUGCUGCUGUGUACUAGCUUUAUCUUUUCCAUGGAGCAUAAGGAGAAGGUCUGAUUAAAUCAGUUGUCAUCAUUCAAUGAAGCACAACAUUUCUGCAGAGAACAGUUCACCAAGACGUUCUCAGAGGUGCUGCUAAUCUAUGUGCACAAGGUUGUUACAAGAUAAAUGAUUAUGAGUCUAGAAUAGUAAUACUGCCUUAUACAUGCAUUUUUCUUUAAAUAUUUACAAAGAAUUUUUACAGACAUUUUUCUAAUUAAAUUUGCAUAACACACUCUCUGAAAGCAGAAAAAGUGAAGUAGCUAAAAAAAAAAAAAAAACAGAAAGAAAAACUAGAUAAUGAGGCCAAAUAAAAAUUGCCAAGUAGCAAAAUAAAUUGAUUCUCACCUUGAAUUUUUCAUGGAACCUAUAAGCUAUAGAACCAGUUCUUUUGUCUAAGCACAAUACCAAAGGGAAUAUUUCUUUUGUUGACUCCAAUAUAUAUUGUAAAGAGUUGAGCCAAAAGACAUACAAAUAUUUUAUUUAAACAAUAUGAGACUCAGGAUUUAGUAAGGGUUGCCCAGGUACUUUGGACUAAUUCUCCUACUGAAAACAAAUAGAAAAGCUGGGGAAUUGUAAUAGAACUAAAGACACCAAAAUGCUAUCCAGUCAGUCAAGCAUUGUGUUUCCAAGAUCCAGAAGAAUGAAAAAGGCCCAGAAAGAUAACUAAUCGGUAAAGUCAGAUUUGCCCUAAAUUUGUCAGGUCAUUUUAGGAAGAAUUGGUUGAGAGAAUAAACAGAGAAUUUACAGAUUUAUGGAUACAGGGGACAAAAGUUGGAGUUCAAGGCCCAACAAAGAGAAUAACUAGUAACAUCUCCCUCCAGAUUCUUGUUGGAACCUUGAAAGUCCAACCUGGGAGUAAGAAUUAACCAGACAGAGACGGGCCCUCACUGAAACAGAAACCCAGC
rnacentral:lncRNA from 1 species